AGUCAUAUGCUUGUCUCAAAGAUUAAGCCAUGCAUGUGUAAGUACACACCCAUCUAAGGUGAAACCGCGAAUGGCUCAUUAAAUCAGCUGUGGUUCAUUAGAGCCUAAACCCACUUACUUGGAUAACUGUGGUAAUUCUAGAGCUAAUACAUGCGUCCAGUCUCUGACCGCGAGGGAAGAGCGCUCUUAUUAGUCCAAAACCGGCCGGGCCUCGGUCCGUCAGCCGAAGGUGGUGAAUCUGGAUAAUUUUGACCUGAGCGCACGGCCUCCGCGCCGGCGCCGCAUCUUUCAAGUGUCUGCCUUAUCAGCUGUCGACUGUAGGUUACGUGCCUACAUUGGCUAUAACGGGUAACGGGGAAUCAGGGUUCGAUUCCGGAGAGGCAGCCUGAGAAACGGCUACCACAUCUAAGGAAGGCAGCAGGCACGCAAAUUACCCACUCCCGGCACGGGGAGGUAGUGACGAAAAAUAACGGUGCGAGACUCAUCCGAGGCCUCGCAAUCGGAAUGAGUACACUUUAAAUCCUUUAACGAGGACCGAUUGGAGGGCAAGUCUGGUGCCAGCAGCCGCGGUAAUUCCAGCUCCAAUAGCGUAUAUUAAAGUUGUUGCGGUUAAAAAGCUCGUAGUUGGCACUCUGUUCCGGACUGACGGCGCACCGCCCGGUGUCUGCCCGUCACGCUCCGAACAGCAGGGCCGACCCUGCCCCGCCGGCUCGCCCGGGGUGCUCUUCACCGAGUGUCCCGCGUGGCCGGCAAGUUUACUUUGAAAAAAUUAGAGUGCUCAAAGCAGGCUACUUGAACGGCCUGGAUGGUGGAUGCAUGGAAUAAUGGAAUAGGACCUCGGUGCUAUUUUGUUGGUUUUCGGCGCCAGAGGUAAUGACGAAUAGAAACAGGCGGGGGCAUUCGUACUGCGACGCUAGAGGUGAAAUUCUUGGACCGUCGCAAGACGAACUACUGCGAAAGCAUUUGCCAAGGAUGUUUUCAUUAAUCAAGAACGAAAGUUAGAGGUUCGAAGGCGAUCAGAUACCGCCCUAGUUCUAACCAUAAACGAUGCUGACCAGCGAUCCGCCGGCGUUAUUCCCAUGACCCGGCGGGCAGCUUCCGGGAAACCACAAGUCUUUGGGUUCCGGGGGAAGUAUGGUUGCAAAGCUGAAACUUAAAGGAAUUGACGGAAGGGCACCACCAGGAGUGGAGCCUGCGGCUUAAUUUGACUCAACACGGGGAACCUCACCAGGCCCGGACACCGGGAGGAUUGACAGAUUGAGAGCUCUUUCUCGAUUCGGUGGGUG
rnacentral:rRNA from 1 species